AAAUAGGUUGGUUAUUCACGGGGUCAAGCAGGCGAUUGAUAAUUGUUUGUCAAUAAUCCCCAACGAACACUUGGGAUCGGUCGAAUAGCGCAAACCAGAGGUUGGCCAAUUUAGUUUAUAGACGUUCUGUGCAAUAAUUAGUCGAUCAAUUGAAUCGGUUGACAAACGAUCUAUCGAUUAGUGAAUUUUGUUUUGUUUUUCCCAUUAGAUGUGAACACAACAUAUUACUAGAAAAAAGGGAUCUCCCAAAAGGCAUACCAAUAAAAAACUAAACGUGGUAUGAGAGAGGUGAAAUUAAUAGAACUAGAAGAAGGGGAAAGAGCUUCGAAUUCGAUUAAGGAUUUGAAGGAAGAAUUGCCAAUAGCUUUCCACAUGACAUCAGGGACUGCUCCGCAGUUAUGGAUUCCUGCUCGAAGAUGAACAUGUUGCGAGCUUUUCGCAUUUUCCAGCUUAAAAUUUCCCACUCCAUAAAGGUUCGCUUGUUAAGAUGAUUGCUCUUGAAGAGCGAUGUUGCACGAGACCAGCUUUGCCAGAAGGAGGUCGAGCCAUUGCAUAUAACAUUUCUAGGUACGGUGCUUCUUUUCCAUGUCUCAUUAGUCUUCACACAUUCAAAGAGACAAUGAUUAAUGGUUUCCUGGGCUGAUUACAAUGGCGGCAAAUGGGGGAGAUUGUUUGGAUGCGGCGGUGGAGGUUUUUGGAGCACAUGCAGCUUUUCAUGGAGGCUCUUCCAAAGAAAGAUUUUAAUUUUUGGCUGCAGGGGAAGCUUCCACAAGUCUCUCCAGGUCUCUUUAUGCUUCAUCGAAUUCGAGAAAACUCAAUUGAAAGGUGCAAGAAAAGAUCUCUGAUUCCGAGGUUAGGAGGAAAAAAAAGGCUGAUUCGGGCCAAGCCACGGGUCUCGGAACAGGUUGAUGGAGUCACCAGUACCAACAUUUCAAUACAAACCUUUUUCUAGUACUUUUCGACCUUCCAGCAAAUUCUUUCAACCCUAAAAAGGCGCUUAAUAAUGAACAUAACUGUCCGAGGGGAUGAGAUUCGUCGUUAUCCGUUGCAUGCUGAAAAUUUACCCUUUGGUUAUGGUGUUAAUUACGGGUUGUGCCAUUACUUUCAAGUGCCGGUACCAUCUCGCGUCGUGGUAGUUACUGGUUAGUGGUUAGUGAGUGUUUUGGGUUUGUGUUGUGUUGAGCAUUGAACUGGGCCCACUGUGGGGCUUCAAUGUGGGGGCUUUUAUGGGCCAUGAGCCCACGUGCUGAGCGUGAUUUUGAUUUGCCAACACC